rnacentral:rRNA from 1 species
AUGUCGACAAGGCUGGCCGCGGUGGUGCGGUGGUGCGGCGGCGCGCGGACUGAGCGGCCGAGGCUGCGACGACGGCGCAGCGGCAGGACGGUGCAGCUCGGCGGGCGGCGCAGGAACGGCAGCCGCGGGUGCAGGCUGGCCGUAUCGCGGCUGGUGCGGUGGCGGCUGGUGGCCGAGCUGCUGCGGCCCAUCAGGAAGGCGCUGCUUGAGAUGGCGGCCGGGCGGCGGCACCCGGUGGCCCUGCCGCUGGUCAGCUUCCCGUUCGUCGGCGCGCUCUCGCUCCCAGGCACCGUCGCUUGA